GUCUGCCAAAACGCAAUUUGAUUUGACUUAUGCCAGGCGUGCGUUCCCGUGUUUCGACGAACCCUCUAUAAAAGUUCCAUUCAAGAUAUCGGUAAUGAGGGAAUACUACCAAAAAGCAACGUCCAACAUGCCGCUGAGCAAGACCGAUUAUUAUGGAGAUUGUGUUGGACGGAGAUGCAACCCGGGCAAUAAAGUGUACGACCGUUUUGGAACGACUCCUCCAAUUUCCACCAACGUAGUAUCGUUUUACGUAGGCGAAUACCAAGAGGACGACAAGGCAACCAGAAAAAUACAAUAACAUUUUUAUUAUAGUAUAAAUUAUAAUAGUAGACAUAAUAAUAGGUAAUAUUUUCUAAAAAAGCUAAUGAUUAUUUACAACAAAAUAUACGAAAUUAAUCACUUA